AUUGAACGCUGGCGGCAUGCCUUACACAUGCAAGUCGAACGGCAGCACGGGUGCUUGCACCUGGUGGCGAGUGGCGAACGGGUGAGUAAUACAUCGGAACAUGUCCUGUAGUGGGGGAUAGCCCGGCGAAAGCCGGAUUAAUACCGCAUACGAUCUACGUAUGAAAGCGGGGGACCUUCGGGCCUCGCGCUAUAGGGUUGGCCGAUGGCUGAUUAGCUAGUUGGUGGGGUAAAGGCCUACCAAGGCGACGAUCAGUAGCUGAUCUGAGAGGACGACCAGCCACACUGGGACUGAGACACGGCCCAGACUCCUACGGGAGGCAGCAGUGGGGAAUUUUGGACAAAGGGCGAAAGCCUGAUCCAGCAAUGCCGCGUGUGUGAAGAAGGCCUUCGGGUUGUAAAGCACUUUUGUCCGGAAAGAAAUCCUUGGCCCUAAUACGGUCGGGGGAUGACGGUACCGGAAGAAUAAGCACCGGCUAACUACGUG
rnacentral:rRNA from 1 species